rnacentral:rRNA from 1 species
GACGAACGCUGGCGGCGUGCUUAACACAUGCAAGUCGAACGGUAAGGCCCUUCGGGGUACACGAGUGGCGAACGGGUGAGUAACACGUGGGUGAUCUGCCCUGCACUUCGGGAUAAGCCUGGGAAACUGGGUCUAAUACCGGAUAGGACUCCGGACUGCAUGGUCUGGGGUGGAAAGCUUUUGCGGUGUGGGAUGGGCCCGGGGCCUAUCAGGUGGUUGGUGGGGUGGUGGCCUACCAGGGCGACGACGGGGAGCCGGCCUGAGAGGGUGACCGGCCACACUGGGACUGAGAUAGGGCCCAGACUGCUACGGGAGGCAGCAGUGGGGAAUAUUGCACAAUGGGCGCAAGCCUGAUGCAGCGACGCCGCGUGAGGGAUGACGGCCUUCGGGUUGUAAACCUCUUUCAGAAUCGACGAAGCGAAAGUGACGGUAGCUGCAGAAGAAGGACCGGCCAACUACGUGCCAGCCGCCGCAGUAA